rnacentral:ncRNA from 1 species
CUCAUAGUUGGAUCUUGGGAGUGUGUAGGAGGUCACAGCAAUCUUUGGCUCUUAGUGUCUUCUUGAUGUUCUUAGCUGAGUGUUCUGUGGGGCCCACAAUAUUUAUCUUGGAAAUAAAUAGUCAAGCUGCUGCAUGUUACAGCUAAACCUAAUAGAAUAGGACCCCUAGUUCUUUCUUUUGUUGGUUUUGGGAGCUGAAGUUAUGACUAAGAGGGAUGGCCUGGGGCACUGUUAUUGUGCCACUAGAGGUGACAUUCUUGGACUUGUGUAAGAUGGACCAGAGUGAAGGCAUUUGCCAAGUAUGUUUUUAUUAAUCUAGGA